GUGCUCGCUUCGGCAGCACAUAUACUAAAAUUGGAACGAUACAGAGAAGAUUAGCAUGGCCCCUGCGCAAGGAAGAUGUGAUGAAUAGUUUAUACACAAUUGG